UGUUUCGGUGCGGGCGGAGAAAUCUGUACCAAAUCGAGACAAACUCAGAAUACCAGAUGUACACACUGCCAGUGAGACGGUGGGGGAUAAGCUUCAUCGUCAAGAGGGAAACAGCCCAGACCACCAGCUAAGGCCCCUAAAUAGUCGCUCAGUGGCAAAGGAGGUGGGAGUGCAUUGACAACCAGGAGGUUUGCCUAGAAGCAGCCACCCUUGAAAGAGUGCGUAAUAGCUCACUGGUCAAGCGCUCCUGCGCCGAAAAUGAAUGGGACUAAGCGACAUGCCGAAGCUGUGGGAUUACGAGAGUAAUCGGUAGGGGAGCGUUCCGCCCACGAGAGAAGCACUAGCGGCAAGCAGGUGUGGACGUAGCGGAAGUGAGAAUGUCGGCUUGAGUAGCGCAAACAUUGGUGAGAAUCCAAUGCCCCGAAACCCCAAGGGUUCCUCCGGAAGGCUCGUCCGCGGAGGGUAAGUCAGGACCUAAGGCGAGGCCGAAAGGCGUAGUCGAUGGAAGACGGGUGAAAAUUCCCGUACUGAUUUUGGUUGGUGCAGAGGGACGGAGAAGGCUAAUAUCGGCCGGAAGUUGGUUACCGGUUCAAGCGAGCGAGGUGUAGAGGUGUGGCGAAACCACGCCGAGCUAAGCCGCGAGUACGAGAGUCUACGGACUCGAAGCGAUGAGGGUCAGGCUUCCAAGAAAAGCUCUAAACACCAUAAACCAAGAUUACCUGUACCCGAAACCGACACAGGUGGGGAGGUAGAGUAUACCCAGGGGCGCGAGAUAACUCUCUCUAAGGAACUCGGCAACAUGGCCCCGUAACUC
rnacentral:rRNA from 1 species